rnacentral:misc_RNA from 1 species
UGACCCAAAUGGAACUGUAGGAAAC